GGAGGGGUGGGAGAGUGGCCGAUUCCAGCUGCCUGCUAAGCAGUUGUACCCUAACAGGUACCGCGGGUUCGAAUCCCGCCCCCUCCG
rnacentral:tRNA from 1 species